CGUAGGUGAACCUGCGGAAGGAUCAUUAUCGAGUUUUUGAACGGGUUGUCUGCUGGCUCGAAAGAGCAUGUGCACGCCUGGCUCAUCCACUCUCAACUUCUGUGCACUUUUCAUAGGCCGGCUUGUGGGUGUCGCGUUCGCGCGCACUUGUAGGUCUGGCUUAUGCUCUACCACAAACGAUUCAGUUAUAGAAUGUCUUUACUUUGCGAUAACGCAAUUAUAUACAACUUUCAGCAACGGAUCUCUUGGCUCUCGCAUCGAUGAAGAACGCAGCGAAAUGCGAUAAGUAAUGUGAAUUGCAGAAUUCAGUGAAUCAUCGAAUCUUUGAACGCACCUUGCGCUCCUUGGUAUUCCGAGGAGCAUGCCUGUUUGAGUGUCAUGGAAUUAUCAACUUCUAUAACUUUUGUUGUGGAAGCUUGGACUUGGAGGUUGUGUUGGCUUGCAAAAGUCAACUCCUCUGAAAUGUAUUAGCGUGAAUCUUACGGAUCGCCUUCAGUGUGAUAAUUAUCUACGCUGUGGUGUUGAAGUAUUUAAUGUCACGCUUCUAAUCGUUCGCAAGGACAAUUACUUGACAAUCUGACCUCAAAUCAGGUAGGACUACCCGCUGAACUUAAGCAUAUCAAUAAGCGGAGGA
rnacentral:rRNA from 1 species